GAGCUUGCUCCGCUGACGACCGGCGCACGGGUGCGUAACGCGUAUAGAACCUACCUUUUACUGAGGGACAGCCUUUAGAAAUGAAGAUUAAUAUCUCAUAGUAUUGAGAAGUGGCAUCACUUUUUAAUUAAAGAUUUAUUGGUAAAAGAUGGCUAUGCGUCCUAUUAGCUAGAUGGUAAGGUAACGGCUUACCAUGGCGACGAUCAAUAGCUGUUCUUAGAGGAAGACCAGCCGCAUUGGGACUGAGACACGGUCCAGACUCC
rnacentral:rRNA from 1 species